rnacentral:rRNA from 1 species
AGGACGAACGCUGGCGGCGUGCUUAACACAUGCAAGUCGAACGGUAAGGCCCUUCGGGGUACACGAGUGGCGAACGGGUGAGUAACACGUGGGUAAUCUGCCCUGCACUUCGGGAUAAGCCUGGGAAACUGGGUCUAAUACCGAAUAGGACCACGGGACGCAUGUCCUGUGGUGCAAAGCUUUUGCGGUGUGGGAUGGGCCCGCGGCCUAUCAGCUAGUUGGUGGGGUGAUAGCCCACCAAGGCGACGACGGGUAGCCGGCCUGAGAGGGUGUCCGGCCACACUGGGACUGAGAUACGGCCCAGACUCCUACGGGAGGCAGCAGUGGGGAAUAUUGCACAAUGGGCGCAAGCCUGAUGCAGCGACGCCGCGUGAGGGAUGAAGGCCUUCGGGUUGUAAACCGUCUUUCCAGCAGGGAGAAGGCCUUCGGGUGACGGUACCUGCAGAAGAAGCACCGGCUAACUACGUGCCAGCAGCCGC